rnacentral:rRNA from 1 species
GAUGAACGCUGGCGGCGUGCCUAAUACAUGCAAGUCGAGCGAACGGACGAGAAGCUUGCUUUUCUGAUGUUAGCGGCGGACGGGUGAGUAACACGUGGAUAACCUACCUAUAAGACUGGGAUAACUUCGGGAAACCGGAGCUAAUACCGGAUAAUAUUUUGAACCGCAUGGUUCAAAAGUGAAAGACGGUUUUGCUGUCACUUAUAGAUGGAUCCUCGCUGCAUUAGCUAGUUGGUAAGGUAACGGCUUACCAAGGCAACGAUGCAUAGCCGACCUGAGAGGGUGAUCGGCCACACUGGAACUGAGACACGGUCCAUACUCCUACGGGAGGCAGCAGUAGGGAAUCGUCCGCAAUGGGCGAAAGACUGACGGAGCAACGCCGCGUGAGUGAUGAAGUUCUUCGGAUCGUAAAACUCUGUUAUGAGGGAAGAACAUAUGUGUAAGUAACUAUGCACAUCUUGACGGUACCUAAUCAGAAAGCCACGGCUAACUACGUG